UGAGGAAUAUUGGACAAUGGGUGAGAGCCUGAUCCAGCCAUCCCGCGUGAAGGACGACGGCCCUAUGGGUUGUAAACUUCUUUUGUACAGGUAUAAACCUUUCCACGUGUGGAAAGCUGAAGGUACUGUACGAAUAAGCACCGGCUAACUCCGUGCCAGCAGCCGCGGUAAUACGGAGGGUGCAAGCGUUAUCCGGAUUUAUUGGGUUUAAAGGGUCCGUAGGCGGAUCUGUAAGUCAGUGGUGAAAUCUCAUAGCUUAACUAUGAAACUGCCAUUGAUACUGCAGGUCUUGAGUAAGGUAGAAGUAGCUGGAAUAAGUAGUGUAGCGGUGAAAUGCAUAGAUAUUACUUAGAACACCAAUUGCGAAGGCAGGUUACUAUGUCUUAACUGACGCUGAUGGGCGAAAGCGUGGGGAGCGAACAGGAUUAGAUACCCUGGUAGUCCACGCCGUAAACGAUGCUAACUCGUUUUUGGGUUUUCGGAUUCAGAGACUAAGCGAAAGUGAUAAGUUAGCCACCUGGGGAGUACGAACGCAAGUUUGA
rnacentral:rRNA from 1 species